CCUACGGGUGGCAGCAGUGGGGAAUAUUGCACAAUGGGGGAAACCCUGAUGCAGCAACGCCGCGUGAGUGAAGAAGUAUUUCGGUAUGUAAAGCUCUAUCAGCAGGGAAGAAGAAAGACGGUACCUUACUAAGAAGCCCCGUCUAACUACGUGCCAACAGCCGCGGUAAUACGUAGGGGGCAAGCGUUAUCCGGAUUUACUGGGUGUAAAGGGAGCGUAGACGGGUGUGCAAGUCUGAAGUGAAAGCCCGUGGCUCAACCGCGGAACUGCUUUGGAAACUGUAUAGCUUGAGUACUGGGAAGGCAGGCGGAAUUCCUGGUGUAGCGGGGAAAGGGGUAGAAAUUAGGAGGAACACCAGUGGCGAAGGCGGCCUGCUGGACAGAAACUGACGUUGAGGCUCGAAGGCGUGGGGAGCAAACAGGAUAAGAUACCUAGUAGUC
rnacentral:rRNA from 1 species